ACAGCUGGAGCCCCCCGCCCCUCGCCCUCCCAGGAGGACCCCCCAGGACACCCCGGAGCUGGUGGGAACCAACUACCGCAAGACCAACCCGGCACUGGAGCUGCAGCGCACUCAGCGCGAUUCCUUCUGGGAACAGGCUGAGCGCGAGGAGCAGCAGCGGAAGGAGCAGGAGCGGCAGCGGGAG